rnacentral:rRNA from 1 species
CCUACGGGAGGCAGCAGUAGGGAAUCUUCGUCAAUGGGCGCAAGCCUGAACGAGCAAUGCCGCGUGAACGAGGAAGGUCUUCGGAUCGUAAAGUUCUGUUGAAGGGGAAAAAGAGCGGAGAGAGGAAAUGGUCUCCGAUUGAUAUUACCCUUCGAGGAAGUCACGGCUAACUACGUGCCAGCAGCCGCGGUAAUACGUAGGUGGCGAGCGUUAUCCGGAAUGAUUGGGCGUAAAGGGUGCGUAGGCGGCCUGCUAAGUCUGGAGUGAAAGGUACCGGCUCAACCGGUACAGGCUCUGGAAACUGGCGGGCUAGAGAGCAGGAGAGGGCGGUGGAACUCCAUGUGUGGCGGUAAAAUGCGUAGAUAUAUGGAAGAACACCAGUGGCGAAGGCGGCCGCCUGGCCUGUUACUGACGCUGAGGCACGAAAGCGUGGGGAGCAAAUAGGAUUAGAUACCCCUGUAGU